rnacentral:tRNA from 1 species
GCUUGGUUAGUUCAGUUGGUUAGAACGCCACAUCAAUUGAAUUUCACAACUUGAAAUCGUGGAAACGCGGGUUCAAUUCCUGCACUGAGCU